CUGAUGCACUCUGACAGAAAUGGAUGAACAUGCAGUGCUUGCAGACAAACAUGCAGCAGCUCUGGUUAUGAAAUAAACACUGACCUGGAACCUCUGUCCCAUUGAGUCCUGUUUAAAGGAAAUGAUUUAAAAAAACAUGAAAGUGUGAAGACAACACAGCCAGAAGACUAAACAAAGAGAUCUAAGAUGACAGGUUCUCCAGCAAGUUUAAACACACCUUCUCCUCCAGAACUUCCAGACCCCUCUAUCACACUGCCAGCACCGCUAUCACCUGGAAUAAGAAGCCUACCACUGGGUCCAGAUGUUGUCCCUGCACCACUGCUUGUGCUGGUGCCAUUCACUGAAACACCAGUGCCGGUCCCUGUACCAGAUCCUGCAGUGCCGGUCCCUGUACCAGAUCCUGCAGUGCCAGAUCCUGCAGUGCCAGU
rnacentral:lncRNA from 1 species